CCUGGAACUCACUUUUGUAGACCAAGCUGGCCUUGAACUUACAGAGAUCCACCUGCCUCUGCCCCCUGAGUGCUGGGAUUAAAUAUGUGCACCACUGCCCAGCCUGUCACGUAUUUUGGUUGUAGCAAUUGCAAACUGAUUAACACAACAACAAAAAAUUAUGUUUCUGUUUACAAGAGAAAAAAAGACAUACUUAAAUCUGAUUGGAGCACAUCUUGUUUUCUAGCUGUGUGAGUUCAUAAGCCUUUCUUGUUCUUGAACCACUCCACCUUUCUGAUAGUUUUUUUUAACUAGCUUGAAACAACACUCUCUUUAUAGAAAAUAGAGUUUUAGUCAAAUAUUAACUAUGGCAAUUGUGAGCUCUGUUAGAACAAUCUGGAUAAAGCCUGAGUGGUAAAAGACAGGUGUGCCUGACCACACUGUACAGGCAGCAGAACUGAAAGCCCAACCUCAAACGUGACUCUUGCCCAGGGAUUUGUAUGAUGAACGAAUGCAUGUUUUUCCUAUCCAAAGACAUUGUUCAAAAUAAGAAGAGUAUCGCUUUUUAAAGAAAAUAUUCUUAGAUGGACAGAGUGGUUACGUUUAUUACCCUAGCACUCAGGAGAGGCUAAGACAGGAAGAGUGCCGUGAAUUCAAAUUGAGGGCCAGCAUGGGCUACUUAGUGAGUUCAUUGCCAAUCUAAGCUAGAGUGAGAACCUAUCUCAAAAAUAAAAAAAUAAAAAGAAAGAAAAUAUUCUCAAUAGGAUCAUUAAGAUCCUAGAGACCAAAGAUAAGCUUUGAGUAAGAAGCCAGGAAAAUUUCAGUCAUUUUAAAACAGGUUUUGGAUAGCAGCCACAAAUACAAAACCACUGUAAUUUUGCAAUUUUGUAUUUUAUAACUCUACAAGGAAUUAGUUAGCUUUUGUUUGGGGAAAACAAUUCAGUGGGCCUUUGGAUUAUAGAAAGACUGAUACACAGGCUAGUGUAUAGAUAUGGCAAAGACCAAACUACUUCUGGAAGCUGUGUAAGUUUAAUGGUUCUGUCCCCACCACACACACAAACACACACACACUCUCUCCCUCUCUCCCCCCCCCUCACACACACACACACACACACACACACACACACACACUCAGGAACACAAGAUUCUGUUACUUUCAAACAGAGAAUGUUAAGUGAUUUUCCCAAUUGUCUUCCUUGUGGGGAUCCCAGAGCCAUGGCACAGAGAUUAUUUUAUUUAUUUAGAUAACUGAACUAUGAUACUCUCAGGAACAAGAAAACUCCACCUGGUACAGCAGGGGUUUACGUUUAUGUUUAUAUAGUUUUGAGCUCAUACUGGUACUCAUGUCCAUUUGAGAACUUAGCUUCUAGGACCAAGUCAAGAUCAGAUCCUCCCCAUGGCAACCAAAUGAGGAUUAGAGUCCAGGCUGUCCUGUUAACUAGUCUCUCUACCCUCUCAGCUUUUCUACCUUCAGGCUCUGUUCUUUUAAUUCCAAGACUCCAAACUCCCAGAUCCGAGAGGUUACUUAGCCGUUGUGAAAUUCCAGUCCCAAAUGCUGGAGAAGGAAGUGUUUUUCAGGGUUUGCCUGAGCAUUGAGGGAAAUGACUCAGGCUUUGGCAGUGGUGGUCCUUCUGCCCAGUCUGUGUCAGCUCCUGGGGGGAAGGAUCCUCCUCUUUUUGGAGUGAAAGUGAUGGAAGAGGGUGGGUACUCUAUUCCCAGUUCAGCACCCCUCCCGAGUAUGAUCAACCAAUGAUUUCUCUCUGACUUCACUCCAAAAAUGAGGACAGGCUCAGACUAACAAGAAUAAUUACCCUGCCCAACCCUGCACCCCCUUGGGGACAAAGGUUAAAGACACAAGCAUUAAAUACUCCUAUUGGUAUGGUUGCUCCUUGCAAAGUUCUUGUCUUGGCUGUUAAAGUAUUUGAUCUUUCCUAGGCUCGUAGCCGUCCGUAAAUGAUGUCCUAGAUCUUCCCAUAAAGAAAGGAAGUGUGACCUCAAGUUAAAAUUCUUUUCCUUGUGUUCCAAGUUUGUUCUGAUGGAAAUCUAUCCUACUAGCAACAAUAAUCUCUAAACAGAGAAUGACAGUGCAUGCUUGUACCUCAGCAUCUGGGAGGCAGAGGCAGGAGGAGCACCACAAGUCUAAGGUGAGAACUCAUCCUGGGAUGUUCUUCCUCAGGCACCAUCCACGUGGAAAUUUUGAGGUCUGCUCUCUCAUAGUGACCUGGGGUUUGAUGGUUAGGCCAGGCUGGUUGGCCACCAAGCCCCAGGUUCUGCCUGUCUCUACUGCCUCGGGGCUGGAUUACAACACCUGCACCACCAUGCAUGGUUUUUAACUUCAGGUACUUGGGACCAAGCUCGGCACUUACUCUGUAGCAGCCAGGACUUUAACCACCCUAGCCGCCCCCCCAGCACCCACACUGGGGCUUCUUGAGAGAAGUCAGGACAUUGUGGAGUCACCUAAAAGGCACUUUAACUUUGUUAACAAAGUUAUGAAUUAGACUCAGUGUCUCAUAACAUGUAUCUAAGAAGUAAAAGAUAUAUAUCAUUUAAACCAAUUCUGGAAUUUAAAAAGUAAAACGUCUUUUUAAUCCCAAAAGUAUUUUUCUGUGCUUAACAAAUGAUGAAACUCUGGAACUCUUCCUAUCUCAGAGCAAUUAAUUACAUUUAGGACACAGUUUACUGAUAAUUUCUAGAUGAAUUGUAUAGAAAUUGAGUGAUGAAAUAUUCAAUUAAUUGCUAGAAAAUGGCAUUCCAUUUUUCCCUUUGAUUUCAACUUGGUGAGGAGAAGCUCGAGCUACUCUCUGUUGUCUCCUGUUAGUACAAUUGUCACUUUCUUCAUAUGUCCGUGCCAGCCACCAACUGCCAGAUGGGAAGUUACAUUUGUAUUUUUAUAUUUAUUAAUAACUCUGAGGAAAUUACUACUUCUGUCUGUUAAAUUGUGGCCUCCAGUUCCUUUUUAAGAUCAAUAACAAAUAAUUUAAAAACA